AAAGCCCGCCGGGCGAUCGCCGGCAGCCCGACUGCCGGAGGAAAGUCCGGACUCCGUAGAGCGGCGUAGCAGGUAACGCCUGCCCACCGUGAGGUGAGGAUCAGAGCAACAGAGACGAGCCGAUUCAGUUCGGGUGAAACGGGCAAUCUCUACGCGGAGCAACACCAAAUAGGCGACCGACGACCUUGCUCGGGUAGGUCGCGGGUAGGUGGCUCGAGUCCGCCAGCGAUGGCGGGCCCAGAGGAAUGAUCGCCACGCGGCGCGACGCGCGCCGUGCACAGAAUCCGGCUUACAGGCGGGCUUUGCAU
rnacentral:RNase_P_RNA from 1 species